CCUACGGGUGGCUGCAGUGAGGAAUAUUGGUCAAUGGGCGCGAGCCUGAACCAGCCAAGUAGCGUGAAGGAUGACUGCCCUACGGGUUGUAAACUUCUUUUAUAAGGGAAUAAAGUGCGCCACGUGUGGCUUUUUGUAUGUACUUUAUGAAUAAGGAUCGGCUAACUCCGUGCCAGCAGCCGCGGUAAUACGGAGGAUCCGAGCGUUAUCCGGAUUUAUUGGGUUUAAAGGGAGCGUAGGUGGGUUGUUAAGUCAGUUGUGAAAGUUUGCGGCUCAACCGUAAAAUUGCAAUUGAUACUGGCAGCCUUGAGUACAGUAGAGGUAGGCGGAAUUCGUGGUGUAGCGGUGAAAUGCUUAGAUAUCACGAAGAACUCCGAUUGCGAAGGCAGCUGACUGAACUGCAACUGACAUUGAGGCUCGAAAGUGUGGGUAUCAAACAGGAUUAGAUACCCCAGUAGUC
rnacentral:rRNA from 1 species